rnacentral:rRNA from 1 species
AGAGUUUGAUCAUGGCUCAGAACGAACGCUGGCGGCGUGCUUAACACAUGCAAGUCGAACGAGAAAGAGUUCCUUCGGGAGCUUGAGUAAAGUGACGCACGGGUGAGUAACGCGUAGAUAAUCUACCCUUAUAUAUGGAAUAACUGAGCGAAAGUUCAGCUAAUACCGUAUACGCUUUUCUGUUCGCGAGGACAGGGGAGGAAAGAUGGCCUCUGACAUAAGCUAUCGUAUAAGGAUGAGUCUGCGUACCAUUAGCUAGUAGGUGGGGUAAUGGCCUACCUAGGCGACGAUGGUUAGCGGGUCUGAGAGGAUGAUCCGCCACACUGGAACUGGAACACGGACCAGACUCCUACGGGAGGCAGCAGUGAGGAAUUUUGCGCAAUGGGGGAAACCCUGACGCAGCGACGCCGCGUGGGUGAUGAAGGCUUUCGAGUCGUAAAGCCCUGUCAAGUGGGAAGAACCGUCAAUGUGCUAAUACCACAUUGACUUGACGGUACCACUAAAGGAAGCACCGGCUAACUCCGUGCCAGCAGCCGCGGUAAUACGGAGGGUGCGAGCGUUGUUCGGAAUUACUGGGCGUANAGGGCGCGUAGGCGGCACUGUAAGUCAGAUGUGAAAGUCCAGGGCUUAACCCUGGAAGUGCAUCUGAUACUGCAGAGCUUGAGUAUCGGAGGGGAAAGUAGAAUUCCCGGUGUAGAGGUGAAUUCGUAGAUAUCGGGAGGAAUACCGGUGGCGAAGGCGACUUUCUGGACGAUACUGA